rnacentral:rRNA from 1 species
AGAGUUUGAUGAUGGCUCUAACUGAACACUGUCCAAGUACUUGACACAUGCUAAUCGAACGACUAAUUAGGUUUUAAGUAAUAUUUAUGUUAUUUAAAACUAAGUAGUAGUGGUGUACAGGUGAGUAUAAGAUAAAUUGGUUACCUUAAACCAAGGGAAAAAUCCCUUAUAAAUAAAUAAAGGUAAAAAAAAAUCCGGUUUAAGAUGUUAAUUUUUAUCUCGGUGAGUAGUAGGAAAGGUAAUGACUUUUCUAGCAGUAACCGUAGUCGUGACUGGGAAGUUGAUCGACCACAUUGGGUCUGAAAAAAACCCAAUGCUUUUUUGUACAGCAGUGAGGAAUAUUGGUCAAUGGCCGAAAGGCUGAACCAGUAACUUGGAAGAAUGAAAUUGUAUUUGUAUAAAUACAGUAGCGAUUAAUUCGCAUAAAAUUCUAAAUAGAUUGUAUAUAAUGACAGAAUCUAUUUAUAAGUCUUGACCAAACUACGUGCCAGCAGUCGCGGUAAUACGUAGGAGGCUAGUGUUAGUUAUCUUUAUUGGGUUUAAAGGGUAUGUAGACGGUAAAUUAAACUCUAAAAGAGUACUUUUUUACUAGAGUUAUAUAUGAGAAGGAAGAAUUUCUGGAGUAGAGAUAAAAUUUUUUGAUACCAGGAGGACUGUCAACGGCGAAGGCGUCCUUCUAUGUAAUAACUGACGUUGAGAGACGAAGGCUUGGGUAGCAAACAGGAUUAGAUACCCUAGUAGUCCAAGCAGACAAUGAUGAAUGUCAUACAUUAGAGAAGAUUUAAUGUAUAAACGAAAGUGUAAGCAUUCCACCUCAAGAGUACUAUGGCAACAUAUAAACUGAAAUCAUUAGACCGUUUCUGAAACCAGUAGUGAAGUAUGUUAUUUAAUUCGAUGAUCCGCGAAAAACCUUACCACAGCUUGUAUAACAUUUUUGUAAAAUUGUUACAAGCGCUGCAUGGCUGUCUUUAGUUAAUGUCGUGAGAUUUGGUUAACUCCUUUAAUUAACGAAAACCCUCACUUUAUUUAUUUAUAUAGAGUGGUUCACUACUACAUUAGACUAGAUAAUAGGGAUUAAGACAAGUCAUUAUGGCCUAAAUGCUGUGGGCUAUAGACGUGCCACAUACGCCUUUACAAAGGGAUGCGAUAUUGUGAAAUGGAGCUAAUCCCCAAAAAAGGAAAUAUUAUGGAUUGUAGUCUGUAACUCGACUACAUGAAAAAGGAAUUACUAGUAAUCGUGAAUCACCAACGUCACGGUGAAUUUUUCUCAGUUAGGUACUAACCACUCGUCAGGCGCUGAAAAAAGAAGAUGCAGUAAGUUUGAUUUUUUCUGUGUAAAAUUAUAUAUAAUUAGGUAUAUAAAUAUGCAGGAAAGUUUUCGUAUGCAAAACUUUGAUUGGUG